AAAAAACGGAGGAAAUUGUGCCACGAUUUUGGUCGAAGUAAAUAAGCAGGUUUCCAACUGUUUUCUCUUCGAGCGUUCGAUAGAGAAGAAAGGUUAUGCGUUUGCGAUAGAGGUCACUUCCCUCGUCGGAAGAGAGAUCUGAACUCCAAAUCCCUGAGAGAUUAUAAAUUCGAAAGGUAAGGAAGGUGGACGAAAGCAGGGUGAUGGCAUCCUAAGAUUAAAAACGGCGAAAAGAGGAGUAGGAAGAAGUGCAGAGUGGAUUUGGAAAAUGUAGCAGAGGAAAUCAUCUACAACAUCCUGGUGAACAUCCCGGCCCGCACACUCUAUGAUUUGAGGCCASUCUGCAAGCUUUGGUAUAAWCUCAUGGAGUAUCCAGAGUUCUACUGUUAGCCAAAGUUAUAGCCUGAUUUGUAAUGUAGAUAAUCAAGAAAGAGAAAAGAGAAUAUAAGGACAGAAGAGAUUCAGGGGUUUCAAAUAAUAGAGAUGGUUUAGUUGUUGUAAAUGAGAAACUCAACGAGUGCAAGUCAAGGAAAUUUUCACUAUCUAAGGGUGUAUUGAAGACUUUGAAUCAUUUUGAAAGAUUUGAGAGAGAUAUGAAAGUGCUUUUGCUUAAUAAGGUUUAUGUUGUAAAUGUUGUAGGUAUUGUUUUAUCAUCUUCAGUCCUACAGUUUAUUGUGUACUGCAUAUGUCUGAAGGAUGAGAUAAGAAGUUGCAAAAUGUUUAUUCACAAAUUUCCCAUGCUCUUGAUAUUAUUUUAUCUAUUUUUGGUUACAUAUGUUGCUAGAUUUGACGAGGGUGUUCAAUUUUCAAGAACCUACUCCCAGCUAUUUGUCAUAUUGGCUUCUUGUUAUAACUUCAUGUGGACCAAGCUGGAUUAGCUUUUAGACAUUUUUACUGAUUUUCAAGGGGAAAAUUUUCUAAGAGAUGAGAGUGAUGUAACCCAUGGGGGGCUGCAUGGUACAGCAGCCUAACUCCAACCCCAAGGUGGGAACUCCUAAGCCCUUGAGGUUGAUAAAUUCAAUGUGCCUGCUGUAUUUAUUCUUCUAACCAUCUAUGGAAUCAUGGAUAGGGGAGUACAUUCUUUCCUUUAGGAAGAGGGAGAAAGGGAGAGAGAGGUAUGGCUUAAUAAUUCCCUUUCACCCAUUGAACAAUGGUCCCUGUAAUAGGCAUAAACUUUACAAUUGUAAUGUUCAGUAUACCUCUGGGAUAGCCACUUGCUAGUGACUUCUUUCAUCUAGCUUUUUUUACUGUUUGCUUUCCCUUUUGGGAAUUUAUUUUAUCUACUUAAGCUUUGGGCUUAGAUGUAAUCAUAUUUUUUAACUCCCAUAAACAUGGAAACGGCCGUGAUGGCCUUGAGAGUGUACACAGAUUUUGUUGUGUAACAUUUUCAAGAGGCUAUUGAGAAGAACAUCAUGGCCAUUGGAUUCUUUUAUUUCUAGACUUUGAUGUAUGCGGGAUGGUUUAUGUCACUAAUUUUUUUUUUUUUUGUUCCUUUAUGUGGAAGCUCCAUAGUUCCUAUUCAAAAAGAAUAGUUGUCAUUGGCGUGAAGAAGAGAGAGAAACUAGCUUACUUGGUAGAAGAGACCGUUGUAUUUGCAUUGAUGGUAGGAGUAGCUGGUUGUUUUCAUGUUGCUAUUUUUUACCAAGGUGCCUGUUCUAUGCCUAUUGUAUGCCCGGGCUGCUUGUUAUUUUUUAUAUUUGUUUAAUGGUGGGAGUAGCUGGAACACCAUUUGGUAGAAGAGACCGUUGUAUUUGCAUUGAUGGUAGGAGUAGCUGGUUGUUUUUAUGUUGCUAUUUUUUACCAAGGUGCCUGUUCUAUGCCUAUUGUAUGCCCGGGCAGCUUGUUAUUUUUUAUAUUUGUUUAAUGGUGGGAGUAGCUGGAACACCAUUUGGUAGCAAGAAACAGUUGUAUUUGCAUUGAUAGAAAUGCCAAACAUCCACAAAAAUUGUAUUCUUA